rnacentral:rRNA from 1 species
CCUACGGGAGGCAGCAGUGGGGAAUAUUGCACAAUGGGGGAAACCCUGAUGCAGCGACGCCGCGUGAGUGAAGAAGUAAUUCGUUACGUAAAGCUCUAUCAGCAGGGAAGAAAAUGACGGUACCUGAGUAAGAAGCACCGGCUAACUACGUGCCAGCAGCCGCGGUAAUACGUAGGGGGCAAGCGUUAUCCGGAUUUACUGGGUGUAAAGGGAGCGUAGACGGGGCGCCAAGUCUGGAGUGAAAUGCCGCGGCUUAACUGCGGAACUGUCUUUGAAACUGGCGAACUAGAGUGGGGGCGGGGAAAGCGGAAUGCGUAGUGUAGCGGUGAAAUGCGUAG